UCCCUGUCUCCCCAGUCUCCUUCCUGGGAGGGCUUUUCCUCCUCUUCCGUUUGCCCGCAGUCUGGGAAUCAAAGAAUCCUUAUCAGUGCUUCCUUCCUCUCAGAAAGCUGGAAUUCGCAGUGUCCACCCCAAAUGUCUAUUGGCCUAAGCAAAUUCUUCCAAAACCCCAUGGAGCUGAGAAAAGGGCUGGAUAUGGCAGGGGGCUGCAGCAGGCUGCCAACGAUGGAGGUUGGAGGAAAAUACUCCCCUUUACCACAGCUAUAAGGGGGUGGGAUAAAUACGUGGCUAUCUCUAGUUCCUCAUGUCUUAUUUCUACCUCUCUGCCUAACAUCUAUUUAUCUCUGGUUUUCCUCCCCACGUCUAGGGCAUGGCUUUGACAUUCAGUCAAACUAGUGAAGACACAUGAUUACCCAUUUUCUUCUACCCAAAAUAAUCUCUCUCACUCUCUCUGUCUCUCUCUGUGAAGCAAAUUGCUCUUUGCUGGUAAGGAAAGUAUUAAAGGUGCCAUAGCACCGGCAGCUCCUUCUUGGGGUACACUGUGGUGCUACAAAAGAUCUCUAAAAUUCGGCAGCAUCUCCAUGAAGGCAGCCUGGAUGGCUGAUGUUAGCAAGCAGUGGGGAAUGAAAGGUCUGAUUGGAAUCUGAGGGUGCCAGCCCUUGAGAUACUGAUUUGUAAAGAGUCAAAGCCCAUUUUGGUGGUGGUGCUGCUUUGUUGGGUCAACGUUCUGCUCCAGAAUUCCGUAUUUUAGGGCAGCAGCACAACGAAGCCUUGGGCAGCAUCUGCUGCACCUUUCCCAGUACAUGGGACUGUGAUUGGUGUUACCAGUCACAGCUAGAAGAUCUGCCUUCUGAUUCCCCAGUGGGAGACAAGCCAAACCAACUUGCAGAGCAAGCCAAAUAAUUGUUGAUUAGACACUUCUUUUAGCAUGGAGUGUUCUGCCCUUUUAGCUGUCCUGGUAAUAUAGGCCAAAUCAGUUACUAGAUUAAAAGGUUGUUGGAAUUUUUUAAAUGCUCUGACAUCAGCAGCCAACUCAGGAAUCUGGGCGGUUCCUUCAAUGACUUGAAUAUCCUACUCCCACUUCUGAGUGUUUGGAUCCUUCCAAGUGAUAACUGAUUUGUGUGAUUUUCCAGAGCCAUCUGUAAAAACUGUGAGGGCUUUAAGAGGAACCUUACCUUUUAGAGAAUUUGGGACUAGAUGGAAUGUUUCUUUUAGUAGCUUGUGUUUUGGAUAAUGAAUAGAGACUUGUCCGGGAUAGCUGUCUAAAUCAAACUGAAGGUAUCCAUUUGUCUGUAAUAGCGAUUCUAAUUUGUGUAGUUGAAAUGCUGGAUAAAUGUAUGUUGGGUCACACGCUGCAGGGGUUCGGAGGUGGUUCCUGUCUUUAAUGAUUAACUGAGCUAAAAGCUCUUGAGGGAUUGUAAUAGUUUUUUUGGUGUGGCAAAAAUACCCAUUCUACAAUUAACAAUUUUUCUGUAGAAGACGGGUCCCACUGAAAAAGCAGUGCCUGGAAAUGUGGGGAUUUACCAAGACUAGCAAACUGGGAGGUUAGAGAGCAGUCAGCGCGCUGUGCUUUUCGAGAUGAGAUAGCAGGUGCUACCUUUCGCAGCACGUCGUGGGCAUCUGGAGUUAAGAUGCGCUGGGAAGUCAGGUCAUAGCUCCCCUUCAGUAGGCUGAACAAAGGGCACAGCUCUUCUCUCGUGAGUCCAAGCAGUGGUCGGAUCCAGGUGAUGGAGCCACACAACUGUUGUAUGUCCCUUAGCAUUUGAGCCUUAUCUUUGAUGGAGAUAUUUUGGGGAAUAAUGGCUCACCCGCUGAUAAGGAAUCCAAGGUACUUCCACAGGGAGGUCUACUGGGUUUUUCAGGAGCAAUAUCAAAACCUGCAUCUUCAACAGCUGUCACAGUCUUUCUGAUCACUGGGUUAAGGUAAGUCUUUUCUUGGGAGCAAAUUAAAAUGUCGUCCAUAUAAUGCCGAAAUAUAGCUUCAGGGAAGGCUUUCCUGAUUGGAGAUAGAAUCCCAGCCACAAACAUUUGACAUAAAACAGGGGAAGUUUUCAUUCCCUGUGGCAAUGUGACCUAAUGAUAUCUUUUAAAGGGUUCUUGACAGUUGAUUGGUAUCGAAAAUGCGAAUUUGGGAGUGCGGGACAGAGAGGGAUGUUGAAUAAACAGUCUUUGAUAUCAAGGAUUGUGAGCUGCCAGUCCCUGGGAAGUACAGAAGGUGAGGGGAGCCCUUUUUGCAAGGAGCCCAUGUCUUCUAAAACAUCAUUUACUUUCCAAAAGUCUUGUAAUAACCUCCAUCUGUCUUUGCCAGGUUUUUUAUAAAAAGACAUGGGUCAGGAGCUAGUUGAUGGUACAAUGUGUCCUUUUAAUAAUUGUUCCUGUACUGGGGCAUGGAGCACUUCUAAUUUGUCAUUUGGAAGGCCCAAUGAUCCACCCACACAGGAUCAUACCCACAGGGAGGGAUCAUACCGUUUCCCACAGAUGGACAACAGCCAUAUUGAGUGGUUUAGUUUUCAUUUCUUUUUAAUUCCCAAAGUUUCAUUUUUUUCAACAUUGUAAUACAGCAUCUCUAUUCAAAUCAUUAUACUCACCUUGGUUAAUUAAAUAUUUAUUAAUUUAUUUUGCCCCCAUAAUAUCAGACAAAAGCAUAGGACAAAAGCAUAGGAAGAACAACAAGCAAUUACAGAAAUACAGUAUCUUCCCUGAAAAUCCCUUGGAAACCAUGUUAAAACAAGGGGAAGAACAUCAACUUACUAAAGAUAAAGACCCACAGCUCAAGAUUGUGCAUUGCAUGUUAGAAUGGCCAAAGAAGAAAUUAAAACAAGGUCUUCGCUGGCUGAAGCAUGGGUCUACCAGGAUGUGGAUUUGCGAAGUACUUUACAAUUACGCCCAAAAUAAAUUAAAUGCAGACUGGAAUUGCAGUAUGUGGAGGUCUGGUUUAAAUAUUGGAACAGCGAAAAGGAAGUAGAAACAGAUAAACCAAAUUCUCUCUGUAACGAUCAAUGAUAAAGACACAACGAGGAAAACCAAUCAACCAAGGUGGGACUCAUUAAAUUUCCUCCCCCCUACUGCACCUCCCAACGAACCAGCUGCAACUGCAGCUGAGUCAUUGGAGGCUUCAAUGAGUCAUGUAACUGAGAGGGCUGAAGAAAUUGAAAGUAGCAGUGGGACAUCAGAAGAAACGUAUAUUCUAUCAUUCUCCUCCAGGCAAAUUACAAAUUCAGCCAUGCAGGAAGUUCCAUCCAAUCAAGAAGGUCCAGCCUUCUUCACUUGAAGGAGAACCCUGGUAGUACAAAAAUGUUCCUUCUGCUCCAGCAGUAAAGAUAAAACAAAGGUGGCAUCCCUCAGAGAGGUCCCAAUGGAGGGUGCACAAGGUGGAAUAGGAUAUGUAAAUGCACCCCUCACCUCUUCAGAAGUGAGGCAUUUUAAAAAGGAAAUGGAGAUAUUAUUCAGUGACCCAGUAGGUAUGUCAGAAAAAGUUUACCAGUUCUUAGGCCCUAGGAUUUACCCUAGGGGAAAAUGAAAUUCAAUAAUGCAAACCCUUUUCUCUCCAGAGAAGAGAAAAGUUAUUUAGACUGCAGGGAUCAAUAUAUUGGACAGAGAACAUAAUUUAGGAACAACUGGAGAGAAGAAAUUACCAUUAACAGAUCCAGAAUGGAACCCUAACUCAGAUGAGGGAAGAAAAAGUAUAGCAGAAUACAGAACCCGAAUUGUAAGGGGAAUAAAAGAGGCAGUCCCCAGAGUUAAUAACAUGAAGAAAGCCUUUGGUAGCAAACAAUAAAAACAUGAGAGCCCAACUGACUGUAUAACUCGCUUAAAUAAUAACAUCCAAUUAUAUUUAGAAAGAGAUUUAGGUAGUGAAGGAGGGAAGACAAUGUUCUAGGUCCACUUUGGGUUACAUUCUUGGCCUGACAUAAAACAGAAAUUAGAGAAAUUAGAUGGAUGGCCAGAAAGAAGUUUAGAUGAGUUAUUAGCUGAAGCACAGUAAGUUUAUGCCAGGUGAAAUGAAGAGAAAAUGAAGACUAAAGCUAAGAUGAUGGCUGCUGUCCAAAUUCCUAAACCAAUUAGGCAGGAUGGGGAGAAUAUUCAAUUGAAGAAACCUAUUUGCUUUUAUUGUAAGAAAGAAGACCAUAUGCAAUCCUGCUGUUUUAAGACAUUGAGGGACUUAAGAGAUUCUCCAAGUGGAGAAUCAACCCUCAGAGAACUGAGGGGGUCAGGGGCUCUUCUUCUUGGGGCACAAAAACCAUCUUCAAGAGCCCUUGAUAAAAUCAAGGAUAGGACCCCUAGAACAAUUAAUGGAAUUUUUAGUAGACACAGGAGCAGAGACAACUUGUUUAACUGAAAAACCAAAUGCAUGUGCCAUAAGCAAAGACACUUUCAAUAUUUGUGCUGCUAAAGGGGAAUCCUUCCCCAUUCCCAUCAUUAAGAAUGUCACUAUAAAGGGUAAUGGACUAACCAGAAAGGGAGAUUUGUUUUUCUACCUCCAGCAGGUAACAACUUACUUGGCCAGGAUCUCCAGAUACCUUUGAAAGUUGGAGUAGUUCCACAAGAAGGAAGGAUGAAGGUCAUUUUGUUUACUUUAUCCACACAAGAUGAAAACUGAUUAAUCCUACAGUGUAAGCCCAACCAGAUUCUCCUUCUAGACACCUGUUUGCUUCCACCUGGGAAGAUCCAGACACUGGAAGGAAACAGCAGCUCACCUGGACCUGGUGACUGCAAGGGUACAUGGAGUCUCCCACACUCUUCGGUCAAGCCUUGGAGAGCCUGUUCAUUUCCUUUUCUCCACCCUCAGGAAUACAAGUAACACAGUCAUCAAAAGGGAACUCUGGAGAAACCAGAGGAAACAUCCUAGCAGACCAUGCUGCAAAGGAGGCUGCUUUUGAGGGGGAAUUAAAGGAGAAACAACAUGAAUAGAACCAAGGCCAGUUCCAGGUAGGACUUUCCUGCAUUUAGGUCCCUUCCUGCAUCCAGGUACACUCCCAUGAAAACCAAGGGGUCUGAACCCAGUAGGAAAACCAGAGAGGUUGAAAGGUCUGCACCACCUAUCAGAGAGUACCACGGCACUUCAAUCUUCCCAUUGACCCCUGAGCGAGGGAAGGGAAGGUUGAACUGGUAACUUGAUGCCACAGCAAUGGUGCAUACUAAUGAGAGAGCUUCCCAUCAAAAACCUCAGAGAUAUCAUCCCACCCCAGUGACAGCACACUCUGGGAAAGAAGAUCUUACCCCAUCAUCUACAUCAUCUAGCACCAAUCACCUGAGACUAUGGGGGCAGGACUGCAAGUACAGACUGAGGGGACCGAGAACAUCAAAGGGGCAGCCUGGCCUGAAGAGCUGUCUUUGCUGUCUUUUACUGUUCCUGGGACUGUGACUUAGCUACAGCAGGGGACCCCACACUGCAGAUUUCAGUCAAUAUCUCUUUUUAGAGACCUUAUUCCAGAUUUGAGGGCAGACUAAGUGCAUUCACUGCAAUGCCCUCGGGUUCUUGCCUUGGGGCCAGAUGCCAGAUUGGCUAGAGGUUUCCUCAAUCCUUGGGCCUGGGACUUUAUCCUUUUUUCUUUCUUUCCUUUCUUCUUUUUCCUUACCUCCCUUUUUGUUUUUCCCCUUUAAAUAAA